AGAGAGAGACAUGCGCGCAUAUCAAUAAGCGGAGGAAAAGAAACUAACAAGGAUUCCCCUAGUAACGGCGAGUGAAGCGGGAAGAGCUCAAAUUUGAAAUCUUAAAGGGUUUCCCUUUACGAAUUGUAGUUUAAAGAAGUGUUUUCUGUUGAGGUUUUGGUAAAAGUUCUUUGGAAUAGGACAUCAUAGAGGGUGAGAAUCCCGUAUUUGACCUUUACUUUCAACUUUGUGAUACACUUUCAAAGAGUCGGAUUGUUUGGGAAUGCAGUCCAAAAUGGGUGGUAAAUUUCAUCUAAAGCUAAAUAUUGGCGAGAGACCGAUAGCGAACAAGUACCGUGAGGGAAAGAUGAAAAGAACUUUGAAAAGAGAGUUAAACAGUACGUGAAAUUGUCAAAAGGGAAGCGUUUGACACCAGUGUUGUUUUUCUGAAAAUCAAUUAAAGAACUGUUUAUGCUAAGCUGUUUAGACUUUAUCAGCUAUCUGUUUAGUUUUGAGCUUUCCUUUAAUGCACUUUUCAGUUAACAAGUCAACAUCAAUUUCUUUUGCUGUAAAAAAGCUUGAGGAAGGUGGCUUGAGAUUCGUCUUAAGUGUUUAUAGCCUCUUGCCUAUGCAGUCGGAGAGAUUGAGGUCUGCAGCGUAGAUCCUUCGGGGCUAAAUGCAUUUGUGCUAAGUUAUAGCAUUUUAUAGACAACUUGUUGACUAUGAUUUGUCUUGUAGCUUACUCGCUUAUGUUAUUUUACCUACGCUUAGGAUGUUGACGCAUGAGAUAUACGC
rnacentral:rRNA from 1 species